rnacentral:lncRNA from 10 species
GUGAGAAACCGAGGCCCAGAAAGGUUCAGCGAAUUGCCCGAGGACACAUAGCGGUGCCGGCGUCUCUGCAUCCCAGGUGUCUGCUGGGGCCUCGGUUUCCCCAUCGCACAGAGACCUCAUCACGGGGCCCAUCCGGGGAGGAAGGCGGCACAGGAGGGACAGGAGAGCCUGUGGACUCGCUGCCUGCGGCUGCUGGAGCCAGGCUGGAGUACAGUGGCUCGAUCCUGGCUCAUUGCAACCUCCACCUCCCAGGUUAAAGCAAUUCUCCUGCCUCAGCCUCCCGAGUAGCUGGGAUUACAGGCGCCACCAACACACCCAGCUAAGCUAAUAUAUUUUUUUUCAACACAGAGUCUCACUUUGUAACCUAGACGGGCGUGCAGUGGUACGAUCUCGGCUCACCGCAACCUCCACUUCCCGAGUUCAAGAGAUUCUCC